rnacentral:rRNA from 1 species
CGACGGGACCCCGCACAAGCGGUGGAUCAUGUUGUUUAAUUCGAUGAUACGCGAAGAACCUUACCAGGUCUUGACAUCCCCCGCGAUGCUUUAGAGAUAAAGCGGAGGUAUUCGGGGAGACAGGUGGUGCAUGGUUGUCGUCAGCUCGUGUCGUGAGAUGUUGGGUUAAGUCCCGCAACGAGCGCAACCCCUAUUGCUAGUUACCAUCAUUAAGUUGGGGACUCUAGCGGGACUGCCAGUGAUAAACUGGAGGAAGGUGGGGAUGACGUCAAAUCAUCAUGCCCCUUAUGACCUGGGCUACAAACGUGAUACAAUGGCUGGAACAAAGGGAUGCGAAGCAGUGAUGUGGAGCGAAACCCAUAAAAACAGUCUCAGUUCGGAUUGAAGUCUGCAACUCGACUUCAUGAAGUCGGAAUCGCUAGUAAUCGCGGAUCAGAACGCCGCGGUGAAUACGUUCUCGGGGUUU